GGUGGCUUAAUGGUAGAGCAUAUGCUUUCUAUGCAUGGGGCCCUAAGUUCGAUUCCCAGAACCA
rnacentral:tRNA from 1 species